rnacentral:rRNA from 1 species
UACGUAGGGUGCGAGCGUUGUCCGGAAUUACUGGGCGUAAAGAGCUCGUAGGUGGUUUGUCGCGUUGUUCGUGAAAACCGGAGGCUCAACCUCUGGCGUGCGGGCGAUACGGGCAGACUUGAGUACUGCAGGGGAGACUGGAAUUCCUGGUGUAGCGGUGAAAUGCGUAGAUAUCAGGAGGAACACCGGUGGCGAAGGCGGCCCUCUGGACGGUGACUGACGCUGAGACGCGAAAGCGUGGGGAGCAAACAGG